GUCAUGUUAUCGAUAUGUGAAUACAUAGCAUAUCAGAAGGCACACCCGGAGAACUGAAACAUCUUAGUACCCGGAGGAAGAGAAAGAAAAUUCGAUUCCCUUAGUAGCGGCGAGCGAAACGGGAAGAGCCCAAACCAACAAGCUUGCUUGUUGGGGUUGUAGGACACUCUAUACGGAGUUACAAAGGACGACAUUAGACGAAUCAUCUGGAAAGAUGAAUCAAAGAAGGUAAUAAUCCUGUAGUCGAAAAUGUUGUCUCUCUUGAGUGGAUCCUGAGUACGACGGAGCACGUGAAAUUCCGUCGGAAUCUGGGAGGACCAUCUCCUAAGGCUAAAUACUCUCUAGUGACCGAUAGUGAACCAGUACCGUGAGGGAAAGGUGAAAAGCACCCCGGAAGGGGAGUGAAAUAGAACCUGAAACCGUGUGCUUACAAGUAGUCAGAGCCCGUUAAUGGGUGAUGGCGUGCCUUUUGUAGAAUGAACCGGCGAGUUACGAUUUGAUGCAAGGUUAAGCAGUAAAUGUGGAGCCGUAGCGAAAGCGAGUCUGAAUAGGGCGUUUAGUAUUUGGUCGUAGACCCGAAACCAGGUGAUCUACCCUUGGUCAGGUUGAAGUUCAGGUAACACUGAAUGGAGGACCGAACCGACUUACGUUGAAAAGUGAGCGGAUGAACUGAGGGUAGCGGAGAAAUUCCAAUCGAACCUGGAGAU
rnacentral:rRNA from 1 species